rnacentral:lncRNA from 1 species
AGUCUCUGAGGGGCUAAAAUGAAUUGCAUCCCUCUCCCUCAUCCAACUUCCAAACAAUUUGAGAAAUAAAAGUAGUACUGGUUUGAACCUAAAAUAUCAUUUUGAUUACUUACCAGGAAUAGUGGGCUGAUGUGGCUUUAGGUCUAUGUAUCAAAUGGGCUUAAUGACACCUCACAAUUAGGCAGAACCCCAAGUGCCCCUUCACAUCCUCACCUGGCUGCACAUCUUCAGGUCAGAGCCCCUGGAGGGCCGGGGAGAUCUCAGGCUCCCUGCAGGCAGCAUAUGCCAAGAGGAAAACGGACCCGACUGAGGUGACCAAACCCAGUGAUUCUUUUCAAAUAUACUAAAGGGCUGAAUGAGUGAAGGGGCAGAGAAAACCCAAGGAUGGGCUUAGAAAAAUACCCUCCUGAACACAGGUAAGGGGAAAGAUACUCCUUUCUGAAAAUGAGGAUGACUAAGAGGAAGUUUAAAAAUAAUCCCUCAUGGCAGAUCAUUAACAUAGUCUGUUAAGAGGAUGGUCAGGGUGAAAGAGCUCUGGAGGUACUUGAGGAUGCAAAGGAAGGCUGGGUUUAGUACAGGCGGAGCCUCGUAACAACACUGAAAGAUGUGGGCUUUUCUCU